AUUGAACGCUGGCGGCAUGCCUUACACAUGCAAGUCGAACGGCAGCACGGGUGCUUGCACCUGGUGGCGAGUGGCGAACGGGUGAGUAAUACAUCGGAACGUACCUUAUCGUGGGGGAUAACGCAGCGAAAGCUGUGCUAAUACCGCAUACGCCCUGAGGGGGAAAGCGGGGGAUCGCAAGACCUCGCGCGAUUAGAGCGGCCGAUGCCUGAUUAGCUUGUUGGUGGGGUAAAAGCCCACCAAGGCGACGAUCAGUAGCUGGUCUGAGAGGACGAUCAGCCACACUGGGACUGAGACACGGCCCAGACUCCUACGGGAGGCAGCAGUGGGGAAUUUUGGACAAUGGGGGCAACCCUGAGCCAGCAAUGCCGCGUGAGUGAAGAAGGCCUUCGGGUUGUAAAGCUCUUCUGUCAGGGAAGAAACACCGGCUCUAACACAGUCCGGGAAUGACGGUACCUGAAGAAUAAGCACCGGCUAACUACGUGCCAGCAGCCGCCGUAA
rnacentral:rRNA from 1 species